rnacentral:rRNA from 1 species
CUACGGGGGGCAGCACUGAGGAAUAUCGCCCCCUUUUUUUAACCCUUAUUCAUCCCCGCCGCCCUUCUUAUGACGCAUUUCGGUGUGUAAACUCCUUUUAUAUGUCAAGAAAAUUACUUUCUCCUCUGCCUAAGCACCGGCUAACUCCGUGCCAGCAGCCGCGGUAAUACGGAGGGUGCAAGCGUUACUCGGAAUCACUGGGCGUAAAGGACGCGUAGGCGGGUUGGAAAGUCAGGUGUGAAAUCCUACAGCUUAACUGUAGAACUGCACUUGAAACUUCUAAUCUAGAGUAUGGGAGGGGGAGAUGGAAUUAGUGGUGUAGGGGUAAAAUCCGUAGAUAUCACUAGGAAUACCUAAAGCGAAGGCGAUCUCCUGGAACAUUACUGACGCUAAGGCGUGAAAGCGUGGGGAGCAAACAGGAUUAGAUACCCCCGUAGUC